AUUGAACGCUGGCGGAAUGCUUUACACAUGCAAGUCGAGCGGCAGCACGGGGGCAACCCUGGUGGCGAGCGGCGAACGGGUGAGUAAUACAUCGGAACAUGCCCAGUCGUGGGGGAUAACACUUCGAAAGAAGUGCUAAUACCGCAUACGUCCUGAGGGAGAAAGCGGGGGAUCGCAAGACCUCGCGCGAUUGGAGUGGCCGAUGUCAGAUUAGCUAGUUGGUGGGGUAAAGGCCUACCAAGGCAACGAUCUGUAGCUGGUCUGAGAGGGUGAUCAGCCACACUGGGACUGAGACACGGCCCAGACUCCUACGGGAGGCAGCAGUGGGGAAUUUUGGACAAUGGGGGCAACCCUGAUCCAGCCAUUCCGCGUGAGUGAAGAAGGCCUUCGGGUUGUAAAGCUCUUUCGGCAGGAACGAAACGGUGAGCUCUAACAUAGCUCGCUAAUGACGGUACCUGAAGAAGAAGCACCGGCUAACUACGUG
rnacentral:rRNA from 1 species